rnacentral:rRNA from 1 species
GGCUCAGGAUGAACGCUGGCGGCGUGCUUAACACAUGCAAGUCGAACGGAGUAUGACGCUGACGAGACUUCGGUCAAAUCUGUUAAUACUUAGUGGCGGACGGGUGAGUAACGCGUGGGUAACCUGCCGUAUGCAGGGGGACAACAGUUGGAAACGACUGCUAAUACCGCAUAAGCGCACGACAUCGCAUGAUGAAGUGUGAAAAGAUUUAUCGGCAUACGAUGGACCCGCGUUUGAUUAGAUAGUUGGUGAGGUAACGGCUCACCAAGUCGACGAUCAAUAGCCGGCCUGAGAGGGCAAUCGGCCACAUUGGGACUGAGACACGGCCCAAACUCCUACGGGAGGCAGCAGUGGGGAAUAUUGCACAAUGGGGGAAACCCUGAUGCAGCGAACCGCCGCGUGAGUGAAGAAGUAUUUCGGUAUGUAAAGCUCUAUCAGCAGGGAAGAUGAUGACGGUACCUGACUAAGAAGCCCCGGCUAACUACGUGCCAGCCGCUGC